GGCGCUAUGGUGUAGUGGCAGCACAUGGGAUUCUGAUGUUCGAUGUAUUCCCAUAUCCCAGGUUCGAAACCUGGUAGUGCAC
rnacentral:tRNA from 1 species